ACAGGAAAUUAGAAAAAGAUUCAGUUUUCUGAUUUUAUGAGAUUAUAUUAGUCAAAACAUGUCCAGAAAUGGCAAUAAAAAAAUUAUAUAAUAAAACAAAUACUGUAGAAGAAGAAGAGUUGCUUCACAAGCACAAUGACGUUUCAAAAAAUAUGAAAUAAAAAUUAAAGGUAAAGAAGUCUGAAAAUAUGCUGGAAAUAUAACAAAUGUAUCUGUCAUUUGUGAUCAUGAUUGGCCGCUUUGAUCAGUACCUACCAUAGACUGUACAUACUGGACAAACGGAUUCCAUAGGCUCCAAUAACAGGUUUUAUGUCCAUAAUGGGAGGUGGCCACCACCGCCAUUUUGACCGUGUCACAGGUUCCGUCCAGCCCAGACGAUUCCAUAAAAGGGAAGAGAGGAGGCGCUGAGGGUGGGGCUGUAAGGCUGGGCUCGAGUGACGAACUAGCUAUGCGCUAACCUGAAGCUAACCCUGGCUAACCCAAAGCUAAAGCGGAGGUGGGAGCCGAGCUAACGGAUGUAGCCACCUAGCUUCAAUUCAACCGGAGCUAACUGGAACACCCAACGACCUGACCCUCACACGGAGUUUAGGAGGAGGUUUUCUGCGCCUGUUCGUGAGAAGUACCUGUAUUAAAAAAGUUUUAAAUCGGUAAGUUUAUAAUUUAUUUCCGUAAUGAAAACAUUUUGCUUUGAGCAAGUUUUCAGUACAGUUUUUUUCGGUGCUAUCACUCCUGAGUCGCACCAGCCAUUAAAUGUAUCAUGAAGAAGAGAAAAUAUAUUUAAGUCGUAUUUUGGGGGGACAUUUUAUUAUCUUUCUUACAAAAUCUGAGACCAAGCGUUUCACAUUGCAACACAAGCACCGGUAACCAUAACAGAAUGAACAACAGCCAGCAGAGGAGAGGAUGGCGGUGUUUCAAACCCUCCCGGCCGGCGUGGAGAGCUCAUUCCUGGGCUGGAGCCGGCCCUCAGCACCCCGCCACAGGCUCUAACAGAUGCUGGCGGUGUUUCAUAUAUUUCCAAAACGUAAUACUUGUUUGUAUCUUGUACAGCCAACUAGCCUUUAUUCUGGACUCAGUACAAUUUACCAAAAGUAAAGAGACAUUAUACAGAUGAAGUAAGCACAAGAUAACUUACUGGAAGACACGGAAUUAUCAUCAGAACCAGAACAAGAGAGCCUGAUAACAGUCAUGUGAAAAUAACAGUUAAAAAGUAUGUAUGUGUAAUAGAAAUAAAAAUAUAUUAGAAUUAGUGUAACUCACUGUGAUCCAAACAAUAAAUCAGCCAUAGCUGAUUAGUAAAUAUGACAUGAGGUCUUGGAGUUUUUAAGUUUCAUUCUUUUAUUACAUUUUUUUCUUAGAUCUGUUAAAAGGUCACCAUGGCAGCCUGUGUGUCUCCAACGUCAGCUACACAACGCAGCAAGUCCAUUUGGAUCAUUGGAGACAGCUACGUGAGGCGUGGUGCCCAGAGAGCUGCAGAGACCGUCGGACACAACCUUGGCCUCCCUGACGUCCGUGUCUCCUGGUUUGGUUGGGGCGGACCAUCGACAUACAUACAUGUGCCGACACUUUGCGCCCUGUUUUAUAAAAUGUAGUGUUAAAAAUAAAUGUUUUUGCUCAA